UACGUAGGGGGCAAGCGUUAUCCGGAUUUACUGGGUGUAAAGGGAGCGCAGACGGUUAUUUAAGUCAGAAGUGAAAGCCCUUGGCUCAACUGAGGGACUGCUUUUGAAACUAUUUAACUAGAGUACUGGAGGGGCAAGCGGAAUUCCUGGUGUAGCGGUGAAAUGCGUAGAUAUCAGGAGGAACACCGGUGGCGAAGGCGGCUUGCUGGACAGUAACUGACGUUGAGGCUCGAAAGCGUGGGGAGCAAAC
rnacentral:rRNA from 1 species